rnacentral:rRNA from 1 species
UGGGGAAUAUUGCGCAAUGGGCGGAAGCCUGACGCAGCGACGCCGCGUGGGGGAUGAAGGCCUUCGGGUUGUAAACCUCUUUCAGCAUCCACGAAGUUCCGGUAUUCGCCGGGGUGACGGUAGGUGCAGAAGAAGCGCCGGCUAACUACGUGCCAGCAGCCGCGGUAAUACGUAGGGCGCAAGCGUUGUCCGGAAUUAUUGGGCGUAAAGAGCUCGUAGGCGGCCUGUCGCGUCCGUCGUGAAAGCCCGGGGCUUAACUCCGGGUCUGCGGUGGAUACGGGCAGGCUAGAGGCAGGUAGGGGAGAAUGGAAUUCCCGGUGUAGCGGUGAAAUGCGCAGAUAUCGGGAGGAACACCGGUGGCGAAGGCGGUUCUCUGGGCCUGUACUGACGCUGAGGAGCGAAAGCGUGGGGAGCGAACAGGAUUAGAUACCCCUGUAGUCC